GAAAUGGGAGAUGAAUAUUUCGAAAGCAAUAGGAAUGGAUGGUUAGGAGAGAACUCCUCUUAUAUAUUUCUUCAUCUUCUCCGCCGGAGAUGUGGAAGUGCAGUUGGUUCCUAUACCACCCAUUCCCUACGGUUUUCGAAAUUUUCUCCCUUUUC